rnacentral:rRNA from 1 species
GGGGAAUAUUGGACAAUGGGCGAAAGCCUGAUCCAGCAAUGCCGCGUGAGUGAUGAAGGCCUUAGGGUCGUAAAGCUCUUUUACCAGGGAUGAUAAUGACAGUACCUGGAGAAUAAGCUCCGGCUAACUCCGUGCCAGCAGCCGCGGUAAUACGGAGGGAGCUAGCGUUGUUCGGAAUUACUGGGCGUAAAGCGCACGUAGGCGGCUAUUCAAGUCGGGGGUGAAAGCCCGGGGCUCAACCCCGGAACUGCCCUCGAAACUAGGUAGCUAGAAUCUUGGAGAGGUCAGUGGAAUUCCGAGUGUAGAGGUGAAAUUCGUAGAUAUUCGGAAGAACACCAGUGGCGAAGGCGACUGACUGGACAAGUAUUGACGCUGAGGUGCGAAAGCGUGGGGAGCAAAC